UGGGGGAUAUUGCACAAUGGGCGAAAGCCUGAUGCAGCGACGCCGCGUGGGGGAUGAAGGCCUUCGGGUUGUAAACUUCUUUUGCUCUGAACAAGGCGCACCAUGGGGUGUGUUGAGUGUAGGGGUUGAUUAGCGCCGGCUAACUACGUGCCAGCAGCCGCGGUAAUACGUAGGGCGCGAGCGUUGUCCGGAAUUAUUGGGCGUAAAGGGCUUGUAGGUGGCUGGUUGCGUCUGUCGUGAAAGCUCAUGGCUUAACUGUGGGUUUGCGGUGGGUACGGGCUGGCUUGAGUGCAGUAGGGGAGGCUGGAAUUCCUGGUGUAGCGGUGGAAUGCGCAGAUAUCAGGAGGAAUACCGGUGGCGAAGGCGGGUCUCUGGGCUGUUACUGACACUGAAGAGCGAAAGCAUGGGGAGCGAACAGG
rnacentral:rRNA from 1 species